GAUGAACGCUGGCGGCGUGCCUAAUACAUGCAAGUCGAGCGAACAGACGAGGCGCUUGCUCCUCUGACGUUAGCGGCGGACGGGUGAGUAACACGUGGAUAACCUACCUAUAAGACUGGGAUAACUUCGGGAAACCGGAGCUAAUACCGUAUAAUAUAUUGAACCGCAUGGUUCAAUAGUGAAAGACGGUUUUGCUGUCACUUAUAGAUGGAUCCGCGCCGCAUUAGCUAGUUGGUAAGGUAACGGCUUACCAAGGCGACGAUGCGUAGCCGACCUGAGAGGGUGAUCGGCCACACUGGAAGUGAGACACGGUCCAGACUCCUAAGGGAGGCAGCAGUAGGGAAUCUUCCGCAAUGGGCGAAAGCCUGACGGAGCAACGCCGCGUGAGUGAUGAAGGUCUUCGGAUCGUAAAACUCUGUUAUUAGGGAAGAACAAAUGUGUAAGUAACUAUGCACGUCUUGACGGUACCUAAUCAGAAAGCCACGGCUAACUACGUG
rnacentral:rRNA from 1 species